AUUGAACGCUGGCGGCAGGCCUAACACAUGCAAGUCGAGCGGAGUUGCGGACGGGCGGGUAAUGCAUAGGAAGCUGACUGGUCGCUGGGGCUAAAGUACGGUAAGGAGAGCUAAUACCGCACACUACCAGAUGAGCCUAGGGCGGAUUAGCUAGUUGGUUGGGCAAAGGCCUACAAGGGCGACGAUCCGUAGCGGGUCUGCGAGGCUGAUCUGUCACACUGGAACUGAGACACGGUCCAGACUCCUACGGGAGGCAGCAGUAGGGAAUAUUCGGCAAUGGGCGAAAGCCUGAUCCAGCCAUGCCGCGUGAGUGAAGAAGGUCUUCGGAUUGUAAAGCUCUGUAAGUAGGGAAGCGGUACCAACAGAAUAAGCACCGGCUAACUUCGUGCCAGCAGCCGCGGUAAUAC
rnacentral:rRNA from 1 species